AUUGAAUGAAGGAUGAUGGUCGUUCUUAACCUCAUGUAACUAAAUAUUUAUACAAUGAUUAGAACACUGCCUGACCCAUAGUGUCUAUGUACCUGUUUAUCCAAAAGAAAAAAGAAAGGAAGAGAAGAAAAAAGAAAAGAAGAGAAGAGGAAAAAAAAAAAAAAAGAGAAAAGAAAAGAAAGGAAACCAUUAUAUAGGCCUGGGUUUGGAUGUUGAUCUAAUCAUCUGGCCACUUGUUUGAAACAGACUCUUGACCCUUUCACCACUGAGUCUCAUGGAGCAUGAAACUCCCCCUAAAGUCUGUCUCAAAGCAGCCCCAGCGGUGGUUUCUUUUUGACAGAAAAGGCCCUUAGAGAACUGACUUGUGCAGGAGGAGAGGCUGUGGCCACAAAGUCGUGUCAUGAAGCGAAUGACCAAAAUACCCCAAACUUGCCCAUGCAAAUGGGUGUGAGUCUCCUGACAGCCCUUUUAGAAGUCUCUAGACUUUCUCGAACUCCCUUUUUGAAAGGGUCUUUCCAGCCAGUGGCUUAUUCUUGUGAACCUCAUAUCUUUUCUUGCAGGGGCAGGGCAGGCGAGGUGGGAGGAAGGGGCGAUGCCUGCUUUCCAGGCCCUUCCUUCUCUGCCACGAGGAUGAGACAGACCCCUGCCUGCGUGUGAGGGAGCUGGCUUGCCCUGGGUCUCUCCCACUUUCCACCACACACAUUGCCACCCUCUGUAGAGAUCAGGGUUUGAAUUUGGGCAAGGGGUCAACAUUUGUUGGAAACAUCUUUUGUGAGGUUAAAAAAAUCAACUGGUAGAUGUGUCCAUUAGCAAAUCCGGUGAUAUCUUCCUUCAAAAUGUGUGUCCAUUUCACCCCUUCUCAUCCCCUCUUCCAGUGACUUUACAGACCAGACUGCCUCCCCCUUCUGCCUGGACCACUGCAGUAGCCUGCCUCCAAACGGGCCUGGCUUCUACCCUCCCCUCCCUCCUCUCUCAGCAGCCAGGGAGAUCUUUUCAAAAUGUAACCCAAAUCCUGGGACUCACCUGCUCAAAACCCUUCAGUGGAGUCCCACCCCACCUAGAAUAAAAUCCAGAAUUCCUCUGUGCCCUAUACGGCCCUCCCUGUGUGGACCCUAGGCCCUCGCUUUCUUCCUUUUCUCCUUGCUCACUCCACUCUCCGCACUGGUCUUCUUGCUAUAGACCAAACAUAUCUAAGCACAGGCUGGCUUCAGGGCCUUAGCACGGAAUGGUCCCCUUUUCCGGAACAUUCUUUCCCCUGGAUACCUGGCUCAUUUCCUCACUGCAUUCAGAUCUCCAUUCAGAUGUCAACUCCCAGAGAGACCGUCUCUGACCAUCCUCCCCCACUUCAGUAUCCCCCAGGCCCCACUUGCUGUCAUUCUUCAUAGUUCUCAUGUCUUGCUGACAUUAUUACAGAUUUGGUGACUUUUUGCAUCUCCCAGCAGAAUACAAGCCCUGUGAGGAAAGUAUGUUGUUUCGUUCAGAUUUUCCCAGACCCCAGAAUAUUCUGCAGCUGGUGCUCAGUAAAUAUUAAACUAGGUAAGGCCUUUUGGGGGUGGAAACAAGGCAAUCUGACAAAGUCCUAAGCCUGAUGUCUCUCGUAAACUCGCGAAGCUGGCUCUGCACCUGCUCCUCGGAAAGCUACAGACAGGUUCCGAACAGCGGGAACAACACUGGGUCGGUGUUUAACGUCCCCGAGGGAACCCCCCUGGACGCGCAGGUGACUGGAUGACUCCACCCGCAUUUGUCUUAACAUCCUCUCCCUCGCAUCUGGUUCCCAUUCCCUUCUUGUGCUUCUGGGCACCAGACAAGCAGCCGUCACGUUUUGGUUCUGUACCAGUCAGGCGACGGUCCUCAUCUGUGAUGGUUCGAAAGCAAAGGGGCCCCGUUUCUUGACAUUCUCCCCAUUGAAAGGCGGGAUCUACGUCCUUUCCUGGAGUCCUGUGAUGGCUCCAGGCAGCGGAGCCGCAAAGGCUCACGCAGCUCCCUCCAGAUCUCCUUACUCGCUCCGCGGGAAGCACCAAGGCCGGGGUGCUGAAGAGUCCAAGUGCUGGUGCUCUGGCGUGUGGUCUCAGCUGAGCUCUCAGCCCCCAGCGCUGGCCGACAGCCACACAAACUGCCAUUUUGGAUGUUCAGACCUUUUGCACUUCCAGAUGACCGACCACAGCCCGGCUGACAUCUGACUACAAGGGCAGGGGAAACCCCAAGUCACGACUGCCCAGCCCAGCCCUUCCCAAAUUCCUGACCAGAAACUCAUGAGCGGCCUAAAGCGAUUGGUGUUUUCUGAUGCCGAGUUGUGCGAUAAUUGGAACUCAGCAGAACCCCGCCUGCACUCUCUCCCCUCCGUACUAAGCACUAUGAGCGAAUGUUUCUUUAACACCCUGGUCGUCCGAUUUCUCACAUGUAAGUUAGGGGUGACCAUCUACGUUCAUGUGGUGGUUGUAGAACAGAAGCAGGUUUUGUUGCAAACCUAGUCUGGUUCCCAGCACAUGCUGUAUUUCCUCAAACCUGAGAUGCUACCAGUUGGACGACUCCCUGUUAAUUUACGUGUCAUUAACAGAGGAAGAAAUGCCUUCAAUUAAACGACUGAGCGCCACUUGUCGGAUGCAUCCAUAUUUGGGGAAGGUGAAAUUUGAAAAGAUGUGUGUCUGGGGAUCUUUGGUUCCAAGAAUCACACACGCCUAGGACCCGAGGCUCCACAUUUUACCCAUGAGACAACACUGAGCAGCGUUAAUCCGAAAUCACGCAGCUCCAGCUAGAAGUGGGGGAGCUGAGAUCUGACUCCACGUAAUCCCAGGCUCUGAGACCCUCGUUGCCACUGCACCACGUCCAGCUGCCUGCCGACAGCGUGGAGACCUUGGGUGCGGCUCCUGGAAUCAGGUUGCCUGGGUUCCUAUCCCAGCUCAACUGUCGAACGGCAUGAUGAUCCAAGGUGCCCAUCUCUGAUGGCUAAAAUGCGGCUCGACCCAAAGGACCCCUCCCUGAGCUUCACCCGCUGGCCCCGCAUCUGGAACAAUUCAAAUCCUCAUGGCCCCUGCUCUGAACGUCGAGGCCACCCUGUCCGCCGGUGACCACGGAUUUCAUUUCCCCCCGAUUGCAGUCGUGUGGGCAGUUACAAGUUGAAAACCAGCAGCCAGCUUCAAAUACAUUUUCUUCAUGCCCUCUCUGAAGUACUUCGUUUUUCCUGUGACACCUUAAUUCUGCCACGCUAUUCCAGCAUGCUGAGAAUAGACUUCUCAAUGCCCUGCGGCUCUCACGGGAGGACACUUUCUGGCUUCCCUGGCUGCCUGCCAAGAUGCACUCAAGCCGUGAUGUACAGUCAACGGGGCACUUUUCGCCUCUGGUUUUCCAGAGUGGAGAGCACAUCAUUGCCAGGAAGUUUCUGCCUCACUCUUAGUUCCCCAGGGUGGCCUGCCAGUCACCGGUGUGGUACCUCAGACAAUGGAGAUGCAGGGGCCGUGAUUCCCUGCCUGUAUGUCAAGGUCUUCGACGCCUACUUGUGCAUGAGCUGGAAGAGGCGUGCCCGUCUCAGAGUGUGAAGAGCUGGCGAAGUCCCCACGGUUUCUCUCCGUCUCCUGGACCCACUUUCCCCUCUUCACAGUGGCUUCUUUGUGUCCCCCAAGGGGCCAUCUCCUGCCCCUCCAGCUCAUCUCCAGCUCGUGGCUUUGCCGACUCCUCACCUACCUGUGCUGUUUUCUGUACUGCAUAGAACUGGGUCCUCCAGGAAGACAUAUUGGAGUCCUGACCCACAGCAACUGUGAGUGUGACCUUAUUUGGAAAUAGGGUCUGUGCGGACAUAAUCCAGUUUAGAUGAAGUCAUUCUGGAUCAAGAUGGCCUCCAAUCCAGCCAUGGUGUCUUUGUAAGAGAGAUGGACAGACGGGGAGAAGGCCGUGUGAAGGCAGGGGCAGACAUGGGUGGGGACGCUUCUGCAAGCCAUGUGGUGUGUAAGGUUGCUGGCCCACCACAAAGGCUAGAGGAGGCCAGGAAGGACCUUGCCUUUCAGGUGUCAGAGGGAGCAUGGCCCCAUGGACACCUCGAUUCAAGACCUUCAUCCUCCGGAACUGCAACAGAAUAAAGUUCUAUGGUUUUAAGCCUCCCAGUCUGUGGAGCUUUGGCCACCCCAGGAGACCCACACACUCCCCUCCACCCUUCAGUCUCCUCCUCAGUGUCACCUCUUUGUUGAGUUACCCACCCGGGGCACAUUUUACCAUUCUUCCACCAGGUGCUUAUUACCGUGUGUGAUUCUGUUUUGCAAGCUUCCCCUGGUGCUCAUAAGCCCUCUGCCGUGUCCAUAUUGCUCACCGCAUGUCCUCAGUCUCUAACACAGCAUCUGCACACAACUGGGUGGGCAAUAAAGUAUUUGUAGGACGCAUGCAUUGCAGUCCAGGGGAAUCUUCCGGACUUACAGAAUUAGUUCGUGUCAUAGAAUCUCCAGUCAGAAGAUGACCCUGGGUACUUCCCCUAGAAAUCCUCAAAGUGCAAUUAUUCAAAUCGAGUUGUUCAACCCAAGUCAGUUGCAGUAAAACAAGAGAGACUUGAGAGUCGACCCUGAGGGGCUGAUUCUCUGCGGCUCUUUUGGAGCAGAUGUGACCGGGAAAUCAAUACAGCCAUUAGAUUAAUCUGCGGCAACCAUAAUGUCAUUGCAUCUUUCGCCCUGUGAUGUUGACAGAGAUGUCAGAGCUAGGAGGAGGGGAGGCGCCUCAAAGAAGGAACGGGGCCUCCGAAGUGAAGGGGAGACUUGAAACCCCACAGAGCCUCACUUAACGGACGAAGGAUUGCGGAUGGCUGCCUCUGGCAUCAUCGGGUCUUCUGUCAGAGAAUGCAGUGACUUGGCAACAGGCAGAGCAGGGGGGACCUGUAAAGCUCGGACAUCGGGAGGCCUCUCGGGAGGAUGAACUCGGCAGCAAUGGAGCGGUAGCCUGGUCUGGACUCUCUUUUAUUUCCAGAUUCUCAGCCUCUCCCGAGGCGGGGCGGGGAUGGGAAGACCCCAUGGGAUUUCCUUCUUCCAUUGCAUCUGGCUUUUUAAAAUUAUUAUUCUCAUUAUUAUUAAUAUUUCCUGACAUGAGGAGAGAGGGCUUCCUUUAUAAGCACAGCGCUGGGCUCUUGGAAAGCAUUCAAGAUAUGUUUGGAUGGUGAAGGCUGCUCCCAUCCACAGCGCACAUUGGUACAGAACACCUGCGAGUUCGGGCACUGCUCCAGGUGCAGACGAGGGGGUGUGUGGGGGGGGCGGGAUUUCUGCAGUGAACAAAACAGACAAGACCCCUGCCUUCAGGGAGCUCACAUUCUAGUGGAGACCAAAAUCAAGCUAAGCCAUUAGCUUGAGUUUUCUCUCCCGCAGACUUGGCCAACUGCCCCCCCCCCCCAAUCUCUUCUCCUCUUCCUUUGUAGAGCAGUGGUUCUGAUCCAGGGGCACUUUUGCCACACACCCCCCCCCCCCGCCCCACCCAAGAUAUUUGGCGAUGCCUGGAGACGGUGUUUGGCUGCCAUGACCUGUGUGUGUACGCAUGUGUGACUAGCGUCUGGCUCGUAGAAGCCAGAGAUGCUACCCAACAUCCUGCUGUGCUCAAGACACCCCCCACAAUGAAGACUUUUCCAGACUGCGGUAGCAGCCGACAGUGCUGAGACCCAGGAAGUCGGGUGGAGACAAAAGUGGCUGAGCAGCCGGUGACUACAUUUCCUAGCAUCCCUUGGGGCUAGAUGUGGCCAUGUGACUGGUUCUCACCAAUGGAGUGGGGACAGGCGUGCUGUGCCCAUGCCCAGGUGCAAGGCUCUUAGUAAGUAGAUGGGCCUCUUCCCCGCCCCGCCCCGCACCCCCCUCACCCCCCAGGCUGGAUGAAGAGAACAGCAAGGUUAUUUGGUCCGGUGUUUUGUUUAUUCGUCAUAGACAUUUGUUUCUACAGAACAACUCAGAGGAUACACAGAGGCACACGGCUGUAAUUGCCGCCACAAUCUGCUGCUGAGGAGACAUGCGACCCGAGGAUAAGGGGCUGGGAGCUGGAUGGGGUGUGUUGGGUCCCGGGAUAACUGGAGGCCCCUGUGAUGAACCACGUAGGGAUCCUAUCAGUCACGAUCUGACCCCCGGGCCUGAUGGUGACAGUGGAGCCACGCGGGGACCUAAAUCGCCAUGUGAGGAGAGCUGUCUGCCAGUCAGAGAUACUCAGCUCAGAAUUUCAUGAGAAAAGAUAAAGAAGCAAAUGUUCAAGGAGGCUAGCAGGCCAGGUGUGAGCGGUAAGAGACCUACCAUAUAUUUUCUCUCUGACUCUUUGUUUCCUGGUAAUGGUGCACCUUCUCCACGUACACGAAGCUAGUCUGCAAUGAGAAAAAUCAGCAUUUGGAAGACCGGAACUUCGCUUGUCUCCUAAGAAGAACCUUACUUUUAUGUUGGGUGUGAAACCAGGAGCAUGUGCUGUGGCAGCAUUGAGAAGAGGGAUGUCAGGCUUCUCUAGACCUGUCCACCCACAAAGCCAUUGUCACUUCAGGCAAGCCUCCUCACCAUUCCGGGCCUCCUGCUCUCUAACACGAGCAUUUAAAUACCCACCCACAGCAUUUAGAUGGUUAUUGCAAGUAAAAGAUGAAAUGAUUUCAUUGUAAUUAUUAUUAUGGUUACUUACU